GACGAACGCUGGCGGCGUGCCUAAUACAUGCAAGUUGAGCGAUGAAGAUUGGUGCUUGCACCAAUUUGAAGAGCAGCGAACGGGUGAGUAACGCGUGGGGAAUCUGCCUUUGAGCGGGGGACAACAUUUGGAAACGAAUGCUAAUACCGCAUAACAACUUUAAACAUAAGUUUUAAGUUUGAAAGAUGCAAUUGCAUCACUCAAAGAUGAUCCCGCGUUGUAUUAGCUAGUUGGUGAGGUAAAGGCUCACCAAGGCGAUGAUACAUAGCCGACCUGAGAGGGUGAGCGGCCACAUUGGGACUGAGACACGGCCCAAACUCCUACGGGAGGCAGCAGUAGGGAAUCUUCGGCAAUGGACGAAAGUCUGACCGAGCAACGCCGCGUGAGUGAAGAAGGUUUUCGGAUCGUAAAACUCUGUUGGUAGAGAAGAACGGUGGUGAGAGUGGAAAGCUCAUCAAGUGACGGUAACUACCCAGAAAGGGACGGCUAACUACGUGC
rnacentral:rRNA from 1 species